rnacentral:rRNA from 1 species
GCUUACGGCCAUACCAGCCUGGUACGCCCGAUCUCGUCUGAUCUCGGAAGCUAAGCAGGGUCGGGCCUGGUUAGUACUUGGAUGGGAGACCGCCUGGGAAUACCAGGUGCUGUAAGCA